AAUAGAUACCCCGGUAGUCCACCCCGUAAACGUUGGGAACUAGUUGUGGGGUCCUUUCCACGGAUUCCGUGACGCAGCUAACGCAUUAAGUUCCCCGCCUGGGGAGUACGGCCGCAAGGCUAAAACUCAAAGGAAUUGACGGGGACCCGCACAAGCGGCGGAGCAUGCGGAUUAAUUCGAUGCAACGCGAAGAACCUUACCAAGGCUUGACAUACACCAGAACACCCUAGAAAUAGGGGACUCUUUGGACACUGGUGAACAGGUGGCGCAUGGUUGUCGUCAGCUCGUGUCGUGAGAUGUUGGGUUAAGUCCCGCAACGAGCGCAACCCUCGUUCUAUGUUGCCAGCACGUAAUGGUGGGAACUCAUGGGAUACUGCCGGGGUCAACUCGGAGGAAGGUGGGGAUGACGUCAAAUCAUCAUGCCCCUUAUGUCUUGGGCUUCACGCAUGCUACAAUGGCCGGUACAAAGGGCUGCAAUACCGUGAGGUGGAGCGAAUCCCAAAAAGCCGGUCCAGUUCGGAUUGAGGUCUGCAACUCGACCUCA
rnacentral:rRNA from 1 species